rnacentral:rRNA from 1 species
AUUGAACGCUGGCGGCAUGCCUUACACAUGCAAGUCGAACGGUAACGGGCCUUCGGGUGCCGACGAGUGGCGAACGGGUGAGUAAUACAUCGGAACGUGCCCGAUCGUGGGGGAUAACGAGGCGAAAGCUUUGCUAAUACCGCAUACGAUCUACGGAUGAAAGCAGGGGACCGCAAGGCCUUGCGCGGACGGAGCGGCCGAUGGCAGAUUAGGUAGUUGGUGGGAUAAAAGCUUACCAAGCCGACGAUCUGUAGCGGGUCUGAGAGGAUGAUCAGCCACACUGGGACUGAGACACGGCCCAGACUCCUACGGGAGGCAGCAGUGGGGAAUUUUGGACAAUGGGCGCAAGCCUGAUCCAGCCAUGCCGCGUGCAGGAUGAAGGCCUUCGGGUUGUAAACUGCUUUUGUACGGAACGAAAAGCCUUCUUUUAAUACAGGAGGGUCAUGACGGUACCGUAAGAAUAAGCACCGGCUAACUACGU